rnacentral:tRNA from 1 species
UGUUUAGGUAGCUCAAAGGUUAGAGCAAAAGAUUAAAAGUCUUUGUGAUGGCAGUUCAAAUCUGUCUCUAAACAU